rnacentral:misc_RNA from 1 species
UUUCGUGUUUCGAGUUCGGAGUAUGGCUGACAGAAUUUAAAUCAGUCUGGGCCGUAGUACGUUGAGCACGUCAAACGCCGAAGUUUAUAAAUCGCAUUUACGGCAUCCUUUGUGUUAACUAUUUGCUCGCCGAACUUUGACGUGUAUAACCAGCGCCUCGUGAGCAGCACGCUGAUAAUAAAAGGAACUCGAUCCAAAACUGGGCCCAACAAUCGUUCGCGAUAACGAGGAUAACUCACUUCAACCGAUGCGCGAAACAAAAGCUGCACGUGAUAUCGGCGUCCGCCAUCCGAAAAUUCGUUCCAUUAUUAUCGAUUGCACGACAACGACAACCGACAAAGUCUCGAAACUAUUAUCCUCCGUAUAACGCAUCCAGGGAAAAUGACGUCCUGAACCCACGUAACGUUGCCGCUGCUGCUGCUGCAGCGUCUGUCGCUUUUCCAAGAAUUUCCAUCUUUGAAAUUCUCAUCAUUUUACCGACCUCUCCGUGCAUCUGCGUCUGCUCCCGCUUCUCCUUCUGCUGCUGCUGCUGCUGCUGCUGCUGCUUCUGCUUCUGCUUCUGCUGCUGCACUUUUACGCGUUAUAACAGCGAGGUAACAGAAGCGGAGGUUCCCGACGUUCGAAGCUGGAGCUCGAGAGCGACGCCGAGUAUCCCUAACGAUAAUAUAUAACUUAGCCCAGUUGUGGGACAAGUGGCCGGUAGUAGUUGGAGUAGAGAGCAUUAGCCUACACUCUCCGACGUUCCUACACCCUCUUGGCCCCCGAGCGUGAGCGUGGUCAAGUAUUUCCAUUAGGAGUUCAAGGAGCCAACUCCGCCCUCUCGACUCGCUCGUUCAAAUUUCGAACGCCGUUCGCCCCGCUCCGUUCGCUUUCAGUUUUAUACCAAUGGGAUAACUUCACCCCUUUUCGCUCCUUUCCUUUUUUUUUC